rnacentral:rRNA from 1 species
UACAGAGGGUGCGAGCGUUGUUCGGAAUUAUUGGGCGUAAAGCGCGUGUAGGCGGGAUGGCAAGUCGGGUGUGAAAGCCCUCAGCUCAACUGAGGAAGUGCGCCCGAAACUACUGUUCUUGAGUACUGGAGAGGGUGGCGGAAUUCCCGGUGUAGAGGUGAAAUUCGUAGAUAUCGGGAGGAACACCAGUGGCGAAGGCGGCCACCUGGCCAGAUACUGACGCUGAGACGCGAAAGCGUGGGGAGCAAACAGG